rnacentral:rRNA from 1 species
UGGGGAAUAUUGCACAAUGGGCGAAAGCCUGAUGCAGCGACGCCGCGUGAGGGAUGACGGCCUUCGGGUUGUAAACCUCUUUCAGUAGGGACGAAGCGCAAGUGACGGUACCUGCAGAAGAAGCACCGGCUAACUACGUGCCAGCAGCCGCAGUAAUACGUAGGGUGCGAGCGUUGUCCGGAAUUACUGGGCGUAAAGAGCUCGUAGGCGGUUUGUCACGUCGUCUGUGAAAUCCUAGGGCUUAACCCUGGACGUGCAGGCGAUACGGGCUGACUUGAGUACUACAGGGGAGACUGGAAUUUCUGGUGUAGCGGUGGAAUGCACAGAUAUCAGGAAGAACACCGAUGGCGAAGGCAGGUCUCUGGGUAGUAACUGACGCUGAGGAGCGAAAGCAUGGGUAGCGAACAGG